rnacentral:ncRNA from 1 species
UGUUCUCGGGGCGAGGUGAAAUUCCUCACCGGCGGUUAAAGUCCGCUAACUCCUUUUCGGGAGCCGACACGGUGAAAUUCCGUGACCGACGGUAAAGUCCGGAUGCGAGAGAAC